AGUCAGGCUCCUGGCAGGAGU
rnacentral:miRNA from 1 species